GACGGAGGAUGCAAGUGUUAUCCGGAAUCACUGGGCGUAAAGCGUCUGUAGGUGGUCAAAUAAGUCAACUGUUAAAUCUUGAGGCUCAACCUCAAAAUCGCAGUCGAAACUAUUCGACUAGAGUAUAGUAGGGGUAAAGGGAAUUUCCAGUGGAGCGGUGAAAUGCGUAGAGAUUGGAAAGAACACCGAUGGCGAAGGCACUUUACUGGGCUAUUACUAACACUGAGAGACGAAAGCUAGGGUAGCAAACAGG
rnacentral:rRNA from 1 species